UACGGAGGGGGCUAGCGUUGUUCGGAAUUAAUGGGCGUAAAGCGCGCGUAGGCGGACCUGCAAGUCGGGGGUGAAAGCCCGAGGCUCAACCUCGGAACUGCCUUCGAUACUGCGGGUCUCGAGUCCGGGAGAGGUGAGUGGAAUUCCUAGUGUAGAGGUGAAAUUCGUAGAUAUUAGGAAGAACACCAGUGGCGAAGGCGGCUCACUGGCCCGGUACUGACGCUGAGGCGCGAAAGCGUGGGGAGCAAACAGG
rnacentral:rRNA from 1 species